rnacentral:rRNA from 1 species
AGCCUACGGGGGGCAGCAGUGGGGAAUAUUGGGCAAUGGGCGCAAGCCUGACCCAGCAACGCCGCGUGAAGGAAGAAGGCUUUCGGGUUGUAAACUUCUUUUCUCAGGGACGAAGCAAGUGACGGUACCUGAGGAAUAAGCCACGGCUAACUACGUGCCAGCAGCCGCGGUAAUACGUAGGUGGCAAGCGUUAUCCGGAUUUACUGGGUGUAAAGGGCGUGUAGGCGGGGACGCAAGUCAGAUGUGAAAAACACGGGCUCAACCUGUGGCCGGCAUUUUAAACUGUGUUUCU